CCCGGCCCUGAGUGCGCGCGCGCCUGGGGCCACCCUCCCGGGACCGGAUCCUUGGACCUGAGGAAGCUGCGCGCUGCAGAGUGCCUUGUGCUCCCAUGAUUUUCGUUGGGCCCGGUGAAUUUCCCAGUGUCGGCCUUUGGUGGAGAGCUGCCAGCCGUGCAGAGAAACUGCUGAGGGUUUUGCCGAGAAAGCAGAAUUUUGGUGGUGGAGUGUGACAUUCUCCUCUCAGAAAUAAUACCUUUCAUUUAAGGUGAGGAAGAAAAACAGCAAAGGACCAGCCCCCAGCUUAGCCAUGCGCCUGGGCAGAGCACAUGGGGGCUGAGUACGCCCUGCUCAGUCCAGCUCACUCUGCCCAUUUGCGACCAGGAGACCAAACCAGGCACCUGCAACAACAGCCCCCGCCCCCAACCCUGCCUCUUGGCUCUACAGCUACUUGGAUCCACACUACAGAGGCACAGUGGAGCAUAAAGGCCAUUGUCCUGAGCUGCAGAAGUGAACAACAGAGAGAGGGCCUCUCUCAGGCU